AAGGCAGAAGAAUGGUUGUGUAAUGCCAUGCUGGCCAUUUCAAGACAGUUUUCUUUUAUUUCAAGGGAUGCAGGAAGCCACUGGAGGGUUUUGAAUGUAGUCUGAAGAGAGAAAAAGAGGGGUGCCUGUGUGGCUCAGUCAGUUAAGCAUCCGACUUCUAUCAUCGGGUCAUGAUGUCAUGGUUCGUGAGUUCAAGCCCUAUGUCAGUAAAGCAGUGGUCAUCAACUGUGGCUUCACGAAAAUGAGCAGGGGGACUUAAAAAAUUCCCAGUCUGUGCUCUAGGCCAGUUGCAUCAGGAGCUGUAGAGGUAGAAAUCAAGCAUCCCAUCAUUCCAGUGAGCAGCUGACUUUGAGAUACAUCCUACAAAGUAGCCAAAUGUGGUGAUUGUCCCUCCCUGCUUUAAGAAAAUUUUGGGAAUUUUAAGAAAAUUCUGGGAAAACAUUGGGGGUGUGGUUAACCCACUUCACAUCUUUAUAAUCUUUAUCCUUUUGAUAAGUAGCAGUAAAGAAAACCCUUGCAUUUAUUCUUCUGUGUGGCUAUUGUAA